UUGCCUCAGUAACGGCGAGUGAAGCGGCAACAGCUCAAAUUUGAAAGCCCGCGGGCGUUGUAAUUUGCAGGCGGAUGUUUUGGGGCGGGCGCUGUCUACGUUCCUUGGAACAGGACGCCGCAGAGGGUGAGAGCCCCGUGCGAUGGCGCCUCUAACCGCGUAAAACUCCGCCGACGAGUCGAGUUGUUUGGGAAUGCAGCUCCAAGUGGGUGGUAAAUUCCAUCUAAAGCUAAAUACUGGCGAGAGACCGAUAGCGAACAAGUACAGUGAUGGAAAGAUGAAAAGCACUUUGAAAAGAGAGUGAAACAGCACGUGAAAUUGUUGAAAGGGAAGGGUAUGCGAUUAGCGGCCAGCAGGAGGUGCUUUCUCGUGAAAAGGCCGUGCACCGUCUUCGGACACCGUGCGCGGAGAUGGCGAGGGGGCGCCUGAGGUCUGCGAACUCGAGGUUGCUGGCGUAAUGAUUGCAUACCACCCGUCUA
rnacentral:rRNA from 1 species